UGAUUCUGACGGGGUUUACCGUAAGGCAAGAUGGCUGCAUCCAAGGAGGGGCAAAUAAAUUGUUGAGGCCUUAUUCCGUGUUGAGUCGCACAGAAGAUCUGGGGAGGCGUCUGUAGGCAGCGAGCAACUGGGCUCAGAACGGACUAUUGCAGCUGUCCUGCUCCCCGCCCCCUCACGCUUUCCGCUUCCUUCAGCUCUUCGGAAAAGGAAGAAAAAAAUAGUCGCGCCUGGUUAACUCACAUUCCCCAGGUGGUUUGAAUGAGUCAUAGAUCAAACCUGCCACCUAAGGCUGAAGUUCUGGCAAGUGACUCUGCUAGCCAUGUCCAGAAGUCUCAGGAAAAGAGCCUCUUUUCUUCCGGGCAUUCUGGCAGCAGGCAAUGUGAAGACAAAGCAGAGAGAUAUUUGAAGAUGCUGGCCUUGAAAACUAGAGUGAUGUGGCACAAGCCAAGAAUUGCCAGCAGCCAGCAGAAGCUGGAAGACAUAGGGAAGAAGCUUCCCUAGAGCUUCUGGAAGGAGAGCAGCACUGCUGAAACCUUGAUUUUGACUUAGUGUUGGUGAUUUCAGACUGAUCUCAGAACUGUGAGAGAAUAAAUUUCUGUUGUUUUAAGCCACUAAAUUUGUGACAAUUUGUUAGAGUAGCC